rnacentral:lncRNA from 1 species
AGCACUCCCUCGAUCCUGUUCUUUCACUUCCUUGCAGUGGCUUUGGCAUGAAAAAACUUUGUGUUGCGGUCUCCUUCUAGUAGCCAAUCAGCUCUAGACCUUUGCUUCCAAUACACUUCUUCAUCAAGCAACAUGUUAUCAAUUUGCUUCUCCAGCCUUUUGAUUUUUCCUCCACUCAUAUAAUGUUCAAAGUUGUGCUUGACACUUUUUAGCUCGUUGAUUAGCUCUUUCACUUUUUUUUCUCUGCCGCCAAAUUCCGUUAUACUCCAUAGCUUAAGCUCUGCCAAAGAUCUCUUUGCCACCUUUUUGAACUGCUCUGAGGUAAUUGUUCCAUCCCACUUGCUUUGUUCCAGCCACUCUCGCCUCACAAUCUCCUGGCACUUUCAUAUGGGCUCCACAUAUCUUCAUAGUGUAUUCUCGGGAAAGUCCUUUUGUUGUAGCUCGCUCCUCUUACUUUUUUUGCUACCUCCAUAACAAUGGGAUAGUGAUCGGAGCUCCAAGUUUCUAAGUGCACAGCUGGAAAUUCUUGAAAAAUAUUUCCC